GAUCUGGUGCAGGAGAAUCGGCAAGGGUUAGGAAGCCAGGAAGCAGCCUUAAUCCUGUCGGUCUCCCUCUGCGCCGCCCCCGCCCCGCCCCACCCCCUGCUGACUCCGGGUGGGUCCGUUGGGGGAAGGGGAUCUCCCCAGCUGGACGGGAUCCUUCCUCCUCUUCCCACUGCCCCCCCUGGCCUUGAGGUUUGCUGCGGGGAGAGGUGGCAGGGCCUGGCUGGGCGCGCCUGGCCGUGGGAGGCUCGCCACAACAGCUGGCGGUGCGCGGCCGUGGGUGGCGGCGAGUGGGGACUUGCUUUAGCGGGCAAGCUAAUCUCAUUUGGUUGCUGCAGCCCGAACAACCAGGGCUGCAUGCUAAGUGGCCGGAGGCAGCAGUACGACUCAGGACAGACCCGGGAGAGGGGACUGGACCCGUGCGCAGCCGGGAGAACCCAGAGGCCAGCCCUGACUGGGGAGAAGCAGAUACCUUUUUGUGAGCUGCACAAAGGGACUCACUAUAGGGACCAGUAGACCUGAAGUGACACCCAUUCAGCAGGUUGUCAGGCCUACCCCUGUCAGAGGGAAAGCAAAGCAGUCUAUGCCUCAAGAGCGUCUUACAGAUUAUCAAUCAUGUGGAUGAUCAGGAUUCUAGGUCGGAUGGUAAGUGACCUCGGGCAAGUCACUCUCCCUCCUCUGGGUUAUAAUGUUUUGACAGUUUAGGAAGCUCUAAUCCCAUCUAAGGCUGGGCUUUCAACCCUAGGCACUGACUCUAGACACUGUUCUUUCCACCGUUCUAGCAUAUUCCGAAGUCGUAGAGGUGGCUUGGAAGAAAGGUUCCCACGGUCAAGCGCAUUUGGGAAGCCUCGGGUUUCUUUCCUGCAGAACUUUCCAGAGAGGCUGUAGUAUGUUCCAAAGCAGCAUGGCUCUCAGCGUGGCAGGAGAUUCCUGAAUGCUUUUGGCCACAGGAUUCUUCAUUUUAGGGCUCCUGUUCGGGAUCCCUGGGUGGCGCAGCGGUUUAGCGCCUGCCUUUGGCCCAGGGCGCGAUCCUGGAGACCCGGGAUCGAAUCCCACGUCGGGCUCUUGGUGCGUGGAGCCUGCUUCUCCCUCGGCCUAUGUCUGUCUGUCUGUCUGUCUCUCUCUCUCUCUCUCUCUGUGACUAUCAUAAAUAAAUAAAAAUUUUAAAAAAAUGUUUAUGGCUCC
rnacentral:lncRNA from 12 species